AGAGUUUGAUCCUGGCUCAGGACGAACGCUGGCGGCGUGCUUAACACAUGCAAGUCGAACGGAAAGGCCCUUCGGGGUACUCGAGUGGCGAACGGGUGAGUAACACGUGGGUGAUCUGCCCUGCACUUUGGGAUAAGCCUGGGAAACUGGGUCUAAUACCGAAUAGGACCACGCGCUUCAUGGUGUGUGGUGGAAAGCUUUUGCGGUGUGGGAUGGGCCCGCGGCCUAUCAGCUUGUUGGUGGGGUAAUGGCCUACCAAGGCGACGACGGGUAGCCGGCCUGAGAGGGUGACCGGCCACACUGGGACUGAGAUACGGCCCAGACUCCUACGGGAGGCAGCAGUGGGGAAUAUUGCACAAUGGGCGCAAGCCUGAUGCGGCGACGCCGCGUGAGGGAUGACGGCCUUCGGGUUGUAAACCUCUUUCAAUAGGGACGAAGCGUGAGUGACGGUACCUAUAGAAGAAGCACCGGCCAACUACGUGCCAGCAGCCGCGGUAAUACGUAGGGUGCGAGCGUUGUCCGGAAUUACUGGGCGUAAAGAGCUCGUAGGUGGUUUGUCGCGUUGUUCGUGAAAACUCACAGCUUAACUGUGGGCGUGCGGGCGAUACGGGCAGACUAGAGUACUGCAGGGGAGACUGGAAUUCCUGGUGUAGCGGUGGAAUGCGCAGAUAUCAGGAGGAACACCGGUGGCGAAGGCGGGUCUCUGGGCAGUAACUGACGCUGAGGAGCGAAAGCGUGGGGAGCGAACAGGAUUAGAUACCCUGGUAGUCCACGCCGUAAACGGUGGGUACUAGGUGUGGGUUCCUUCCUUGGGAUCCGUGCCGUAGCUAACGCAUUAAGUACCCCGCCUGGGGAGUACGGCCGCAAGGCUAAAACUCAAAGGAAUUGACGGGGGCCCGCACAAGCGGCGGAGCAUGUGGAUUAAUCCGAUGCAACGCGAAGAACCUUACCUGGGUUUGACAUGCACAGGACGCCGGCAGAGAUGUCGGUUCCCUUGUGGCCUGUGUGCAGGUGGUGCAUGGCUGUCGUCAGCUCGUGUCGUGAGAUGUUGGGUUAAGUCCCGCAACGAGCGCAACCCUUGUCCUAUGUUGCCAGCGGGUUAUGCCGGGGACUCGUAGGAGACUGCCGGGGUCAACUCGGAGGAAGGUGGGGAUGACGUCAAGUCAUCAUGCCCCUUAUGUCCAGGGCUUCACACAUGCUACAAUGGCCGGUACAAAGGGCUGCGAUGCCGUGAGGUGGAGCGAAUCCUUUCAAAGCCGGUCUCAGUUCGGAUCGGGGUCUGCAACUCGACCCCGUGAAGUCGGAGUCGCUAGUAAUCGCAGAUCAGCAACGCUGCGGUGAAUACGUCCCCGGGCCUUGCACUCACCGCCCGUCA
rnacentral:rRNA from 1 species